CAGCAGCCGCGGGAAUACGAAGGGUGCAAGCGUUAAUCGGAAUUACUGGGCGUAAAGCGUGCGUAGGCGGUGAGUUAAGUCUGCUGUGAAAUCCCCGGGCUCAACCUGGGAAUGGCAGUGGAUACUGGCUCGCUAGAGUGUGUCAGAGGAUAGUGGAAUUUCCGGUGUAGCAGUGAAAUGCGUAGAGAUCGGAAGGAACAUCUGUGGCGAAGGCGACUAUCUGGGCCAACACUGACGCUGAGGCACGAAAACGUGGGGAGCAAACAGGAUUAGAUACCCGCGUAGUCCCUGUCUCUUAUAA
rnacentral:rRNA from 1 species